rnacentral:lncRNA from 1 species
GGCCACCCUCUCCCAGCCACCAACACCAACUGCAUGCCCCUUCUGGAUCUGUGCGAGCAUUUCUCUAUGUGUUUUAAGAGAAGGAAUUGGUGGCGGAGGCAGCUUUUCCAACCUUGCCACAUUUCAAAGAAUGAACACAAAGCAGAGUCAGGAGCCCUGGGUUCGAGCUUCAGCUCUGCCAUCUACUAUUCUGACACCCUAAGAAGGCGCAUCAUCUCAUUAAGCUUCAGUCUCUUCAUAGGUCUGCUGGGGAGUACAAUCCCUGUCAGCUACACAGUUUUAGCAAGUGGCACUGAACAAUGUGGAAAGGGCUCUGUACAUCUGUGGGGUCAUUCACAGGAGAACCUUGGCGUUCCCCAGUAAGACUCCAGCUUUCCAAGUCCUGCUCAGCUUGCUCUGACUGAGCAUCAUUCUUUUCCACCUUUUGGAGCUGAGAUGCAAUGGAAAAAAGCAAUGACUCUGAAGUACAAGGGCUGGAGUUCAGGUGUGAAGUGGGGGAUGGUAACCCCUCUUGUGCAAAGUGGUUGUCAGGCCUGGAAGACGCAGCAAAAGGUAGAGUUCUGUAAGGAGUGGUGCGCCUGGUAAUCUGAGAGGGACCACGGCUAACUUCAACACCACUACAGCAAACACAAACAACUCUUCUUCCUGAAGACCUGGGCAGAACCGCUCUUGCUCUCCCCAGCCCCCAAAGUUAGGAUUUCAUCAGCCAGGUCUCUCCAUUUGAUUUUGUUGUUUUGCAACUGAAUGCCCAGCGGGCAGUCAUUUCAAAGUCCUGGGCCAGCUUGGGGGGGCGGCUGCCUGCUGAGAGCGGUUGAAAGGGCCUCUGAGGCCUCAGAAAGCCACCCUUGCUCUCCCCUGUGAUUUUCACCAAUGGACAAAAUGCGGCAAGUG